CAAUCCUUGAAGGUCGUCGUAAUAAUUUUCAAUAUGUUCAUUGGCUAGUCUCAUGCGAGUUACACACACCGGAGAUCAUAAACUUUAAAUGUAUUAGUCCUAUCAAAAUAAAUUGCAGCAACAGAAUCCCAUACCUAUUUGGUAGUGGGGAAGCGAAUGAAGUUUGCGAUCAAGGACGAAUCCAUAGAGUUGAUCAAGCAUCCUUUGACAAUGGCAUUCUCGGUUCACUAUCUCCAAAAAGAUGGAUCAAUUUCAGGAGGCCGGGGAGAGUAUACAUUGAUAUAUCCCAACUUGUCUUCGCUAGAGAUUGACAUCUCGACAACCUAGGACCACAAGGCAUAAUUGAAGCUCUCCAACUUAAUGCCAAUUGGAGCAGUUGAAGAAUCGGCAAGCAGUGGGUGUGGGCUCUAGUAAGAAUUUCCAUCAUCUUGUUUGUGAGGUCAUUAAGAAUGGAUUUGGCCUGGGGUUGUGAUGCUGCAUCGUCUCGGAUUAAUCCGCCAUGCAUUCCACAAGCUCUGGAGUUUUUCCUGGUCAAGGGUGGGUAGAGUUUUUCGAACCACAUUCUGAUAAAAUGUUAACAGCAAAUUUUCUAUUUUUCAUAUAUUCAUAUUCGGAAUCGAGUAGAAUGAAAUACAGAUACAAGGAGAAAACUUUGACACUUUUUCUAAGUAAUACAUUGUCUAAGGCUAGACUAGUGGUUGACCCUUGAAGUAUGGGAUUGUACAAAUAAACAGGUUCCUGUAAUUGCUCCAUUCUAACGCAAGCAAUAUCAUGCGCUAUAUGGGACAAAUAUAUCAACUUCCUAAUCAACCUUAUUUUCCAGGAAAUACAUUAGUUUCCAAAACAUUACGGUCUCUAAUGGCUCGCCAUUGCAGCCAAAUUCUAAGCUCUAUAGAUUUCUAAUUUCGGGCAGAUAAAAAAAUCAUAGACUUAGAGUCAAGAAUGAUGUAUAGCAAAUUCCCAGCGUCAGACAUUUAUUUGGAACAAAAAAAUAAUUGCAUUACGAAUUUCAGUUUGAAGUGGAGACCAUACCAGUAAAAUACAAUUUCGCGUUGCUUUUUCCUUUUCCUUUUUUUUUUUUCCCUCCUCAACUAUAAAUGAUAUAUUUACGUACCUUCUCCCUUUAAUUUUCUUCUGUUAUAUUCUUAUAUUAAUGCAAGAGGCAAAACCACAACGCAAGAGUCAAGACCCAGAGACAAGAAAAAGCUGACAAAUAAAUUCAUUAUAAUAUUCAUUGUCUUAAGCCAUAAUGUAGAUGAAAAUGGUCAUAGAAAUUCAUCAAGAA
rnacentral:lncRNA from 1 species